rnacentral:rRNA from 3 species
GUUGGGUAGGGGAGCGUUCUGUAAGCCUGCGAAGGUGGCCUGUGAGGGUUGCUGGAGGUAUCAGAAGUGCGAAUGCUGACAUAAGUAACGAUAAUGCGGGUGAAAAACCCGCACGCCGGAAGACCAAGGGUUCCUGUCCAACGUUAAUCGGGGCAGGGUGAGUCGACCCCUAAGGCGAGGCCGAAAGGCGUAGUCGAUGGGAAACAGGUUAAUAUUCCUGUACCUGGUGUUACUGCGAAGGGGGGACGGAGAAGGCUAUGUUGGCCGGGCGACGGUUGUCCCGGUUUAAGCGUGUAGGCUGGUUUUCCAGGCAAAUCCGGAAAAUCAAGGCUGAGGCGUGACGACGAGGCACUACGGUGCUGAAGCAACAAAUGCCCUGCUUCCAGGAAAAGCCUCUAAGCCUCAGGUAACAUCAGAUCGUACCCGAAACCGACACAGGUGGUCAGGUAGAGAAUACCAAGGCGCUUGAGAGAACCCGGGUGAAGGAACUAGGCAAAAUGGUGCCGUAACUUCGGGAGAAGGCACGCUGACACGUAGGUGAAGCGGUUUACCCGUGAAGCUGAAGUCAGUCGAAGAUACCAGCUGGCUGCAACUGUUUAUUAAAAACACAGCACUGUGCAAACACGAAAGUGGACGUAUACGGUGUGACGCCUGCCCGGUGCCGGAAGGUUAAUUGAUGGGGUCAGCGCAAGCGAAGCUCCUGAUCGAAGCCCCGGUAAACGGCGGCCGUAACUAUAACGGUCCUAAGGUAGCGAAAUUCCUUGUCGGGUAAGUUCCGACCUGCACGAAUGGCGUAAUGAUGGCCAGGCUGUCUCCACCCGGGACUCAGUGAAAUUGAACUCGCUGUGAAGAUGCAGUGUACCCGCGGCAAGACGGAAAGACCCCGUGAACCUUUACUAUAGCUUGACACUGAACACUGGUCCUUGAUGUGCAGGAUAGGUGGGAGGCUUUGAAGUGUGGACGCCAGUCUGCAUGGAGCCGUCCUUGAAAUACCACCCUUUAAUGGCUGGUGUUCUAACGUAGACCCGUGAACCGGGUUGCGGACAGUGUCUGGUGGGUAGUUUGACUGGGGCGGUCUCCUCCUAAAGCGUAACGGAGGAGCACGAAGGUUGGCUAAUCCUGGUCGGACAUCAGGAGGUUAGUGCAAUGGCAUAAGCCAGCUUGACUGCGAGCGUGACGGCGCGAGCAGGUGCGAAAGCAGGUCAUAGUGAUCCGGUGGUUCUGAAUGGAAGGGCCAUCGCUCAACGGAUAAAAGGUACUCCGGGGAUAACAGGCUGAUACCGCCCAAGAGUUCAUAUCGACGGCGGUGUUUGGCACCUCGAUGUCGGCUCAUCACAUCCUGGGGCUGAAGUAGGUCCCAAGGGUAUGGCUGUUCGCCAUUUAAAGUGGUACGCGAGCUGGGUUUAGAACGUCGUGAGACAGUUCGGUCCCUAUCUGCCGUGGGCGCUGGAGAACUGAGGGGGGCUGCUCCUAGUACGAGAGGACCGGAGUGGACGCAUCACUGGUGUUCGGGUUGUCAUGCCAAUGGCACUGCCCGGUAGCUAAAUGCGGAAGAGAUAAGUGCUGAAAGCAUCUAAGCACGAAACUUGCCCCGAGAUGAGUUCUCCCUGAGACUACAAGUCUCCUGAAGGAACGUUGAAGACGACGACGUUGAUAGGCCGGGUGUGUAAGCGCAGCGAUGCGUUGAGCUAACCGGUACUAAUGAACCGUGAGGCUUAACCUUACAACGCCGAAG